UACGAAGGGGGCUAGCGUUGCUCGGAAUUACUGGGCGUAAAGCGCACGUAGGCGGAUAUUUAAGUCAGGGGUGAAAUCCCGGGGCUCAACCCCGGAACUGCCUUUGAUACUGGGUAUCUCGAGUCCGAGAGAGGUGAGUGGAAUUCCGAGUGUAGAGGUGAAAUUCGUAGAUAUUCGCAAGAACACCAGUGGCGAAGGCGGCUCACUGGCCCGAUACUGACGCUGAGGCACGAAAGCGUGGGGAGCAAACAGG
rnacentral:rRNA from 1 species